rnacentral:rRNA from 1 species
GGAGUUUGGACCGUGUCUCAGUUCCAAUGUGGGGGACCUUCCUCUCAGAACCCCUACCGAUCGUCGGCUUGGUGCACCUUUACUACACCAACUACCUAAUCGGACGCAGGCUCCUCGCAAAGCGAUAAAUCUUUGGUGUAUGGUUCAUGCAAACCUUACACAACAUCCGGUAUUAGCGUCUCUUUCGAAACGUUGUCCCCGACUUUGCGGCAGAUUACCUGCGCUUUACUCACCCGUUCGCCACUAGCACCGAAGUGCCCGUUCGACUUGCAUGUGUUAAGCACGCCGCCAGCGUUCGUCCUCGAGCCACUGAUCAAACUACU